CAUAUUUGAUUUCUUCUCUAAACCCUCGUUGGGACUCUGGCUACUUUUUAUGGUGCUGGAACUCUUUAGUUGAGAAGAAUCCAUGACAGCAGCUUCAUCUGAGGCCAUGAUGCCAGAAGGUUGUUCCUUUUCUGUAUUAGCUCUUGAUUGCUUCUUCUGUCUUCCCCUAACUUUGGAUUUGGGGUUAUUAUUGCUUAAAGUAGAAGUGGAAAAAGAGGAUCCCAGCUUCACAUCUCCAACCAUCUCUUCAGCCGAUGCCAUGGCAUUGAC
rnacentral:misc_RNA from 1 species